GGUUGUGAUACUAUUUCUGCGUUGUUUAAUCAGGGGAAACUGAAAUUCCCCAAUGUCUUGCAGAAGAACACCGACUUGCAACCAACUAUUGAGGCUUUUAGAGACCCUAAUGCAUAUCAGGAUGAGUUUACCACAGCAGGAAACGUGUUUCUCGUGGCUCUAUAUGCAAGAAACAAAGAGACCAGUCUGAAUAUUGCCUCAUUACCCCCUACCGAAUCUGCUGCACGAGAAUAUUCACUUAGAGUUUACUAUUAGGUGCAGCAAUGGUUAUCUUUAUAUCAAGCCACACAUGGCGAGCAACGAAAAGAUCCAAGUGAGAGGGGUUCGAAAAAAUCUACUAGUGGUCUCGUGCCAGUGCCAACCACUUUGGACCCUGCACCAAACUCACUACUACGGUAUAUUUUUUGUAAAUGUAAAAAGGGCUGCCAACGCCAUUGUGGAUGCAGGAAAACGAGCCUCCAUUCUUGCCCAAUUUCCACAUCAUGCGAAGGACUGUGUAACAACGUUAAGCCCCCGAAACAUAGCUCUGAUAUAGACAUAGAAGAGACUGAAGAAAGAGACAGGGAACAAGCAGAAUAUUUUUCAGACCCAUCGCCACUGUAGAACCACAGCAAGGACCUUCUAAAAGACUACGGCUCAUAUAAUGUUAUAUUAUACACCAUUUUGUAUUUUAAUUUGUUUUGUAUUUUAAUUUGUAAUAUUCUUAACCACGA
rnacentral:lncRNA from 1 species